rnacentral:rRNA from 1 species
AACGGCGGGAGCAAGUGUUAUUCUACGUUAAUGGGGGUUAGGAUACGUAGACGGUUCCUUAAGUUACGUAUAUAAACGGCGUCUGACUGAUCCAGCAAUAUACUUAAAACUUUUGAACUUAGAAUCAAUUUGAUGAAUCUAGAAUUUAUUGUGUAUGGGUAAAAUCAGGAUAUUCGAUUUUAGACUAUCAAAAAGGCGCAAGCGGGAUUCAAUUUUUGAUUGACGUUGAGGUAUGUAAGCAUAGGUAUCAAAUCGG